UAGGAGUGAGACUCACUGGUGUCAGGAUA
rnacentral:piRNA from 1 species